UUCUCUGCUUUUUCUCCGGAUGUCCAUAGAGAUAGGUGAGACAAAAGGUGUGCGGAGUACCGUCUUCCGAUAUGUACAUAUCAGUGUAAUAGAGCGUUGGCGUCUCCAAAAAGUCUAUUUGAACGCGAUCAUCCCAAAAAACCGCCAUUCCGCCACUAAGCCCAUCCGGAUUUACAACAAAAUUAUGGGCGUAGCCAAGAUCCUUGCAUAAGUUAUUCACAUAACUAUAGCCGUUCUUAGUUUCAACGAGGAACAUGACAUCAGGUUUAGAAGACUUCCUGAUGUCUUUCAAAUAUGGAAUUGUCAGAGGGUUCCUCUU
rnacentral:lncRNA from 1 species